GCUGGAUUAAAGAUUAUGAAGGUCCAGAUGGAUUUUUAGCGACAUUUUGGGCAGUCUCUUCAUCCUCUAGGUGUAUCAUGAUGUUUUAGUCUCUUUUUGGGCAGUCAUGUGCUUGUAUUUGCUACUCAUUCAGGUGAUCUCAAAUUAGAUUAUGUUUCCAUUGGUAUUCAAGGUUUUUUCUUGGAGCCAGAUGCAUGUGUACUAACCCAAAAUCAUUUCUUCUCUGAAACCGGUAGGAGAUUUUAUCUGGUGCUCCUGUAUGUCAUUAGAUACUUUCCUAUGUUCAUUGGUUUACACUUAUUGUUAUUUUUGUGUGCAACGGGUCUUCUAGCUUACUCAAGCAUUUUCUUUAUGCAGACCUAGCUGUGCUCCUUGAGUUUCUGCCUUGGUGCUUUCGAGUCGUCAAUUUUGGACAACCCAACAGAUAAAUCUAUAGGUAUUGUAUGUGUAAGCUUACACAUUAUUCUAUGGCCUAUUUUUUCUUUCUGCAGGCCAAUUUCAAACCUCCAACAAGGUACCAUGGUAUGAACCCAUUUGCUUUCCCCAAUUUGGAUGUCAUGGAAUUCUUGAACAACAUGGAUUUGCAAGGAAUCGAUUUUGUACAAUUGAUGAUAAUCCACCCCCUUCGCUACUAAAUUAUGCAAUUAAAGCUUCUGUGAUCUUAUUCUGAAGCCCAUUGAAGAUGAUUUAAAGAUGUGGCCACACAGACCUGAAGCUUCAGAGUUUGUGGGUUGCAUGAAAGAGAUCCAAAAGUAGGAUCUAACCAUUAAGGCCCCAAACUGGUUUGAUCUUGACCUAAAAGUAUUGUCCAGUUCCAAUCUGUUCUCUUAUCUGAAAUGGGCGUGGCAAACACUAAUUAUUAACAGUCAUUUGCUACUGCCUUUGUGGGAUCAAGUUGCCUUUUGUAGAAUUGCAUCACGCCAUUUGGAGCCCCUAAUAAUUAGACAGUAUUCAGAUUUGACUUAUUUGAAGUUGCUGCCAGCUGAAACAGGGGAUAGUCCUCCUUUUUUUUUUUGCAUCUCUCGGUAGUCGGUACUGGUACUUUGUUUUAUUAUGGAUUAGUAUGUUCAGUGUUUGCUAAAAUUUCUUCCUAGAGCCGCCUAUUUCAUGUUUCUCUUUGUUGCAGAAGUGUUGCCUGCUCGGUUUAGUCCUCUUUCAUUUAUUCAUUUUAUUGCAUUGAUAAGUAGAUAUCUGAAAUAUCUGCAAGGACAUGAUUUCUUCAUUUCAGCCAUGGUGUACAUUUUGAAUUAAACUUGGUUUAAGAAAUUCCUUGUGCUAUAUUUCCUAUGUGUUCAGAGGCAUAGCAGGUGUAGCCUCUGAAGUUGGAACAUGUGAUAAGUCACAAAUGUUUUUUGGUGUGUGUGUUUCUCAGCAAACUGCACUGAUACUUUUUGUGCAGGUUGAAUGCAGCAUGGCAAUACUUCCUCUUUGGAUACUCACUUUUUUUCCCUGUUUCUUAUCACCCUGUUCUUCCCAGGUGGUUCCAACAGGUGAGGCGAUCUUCGUACGUGCACUUCUGAUCUUACAUAGGUACAUAGGUAGCUUACCUCUUAUAUUUGUUCAUAGAUUCGUACUACCCAUGUGCUCUGACAAAGCUUAGGCUAGACAUCACUAGAUUGUAGUCCACGAGGACUCUCUCAUGAUACUGCCCAAGGAUCCUUUGCUUGGUAGUUAAAGGUGAGAUUGCCUGAUGCAUAUUAUUCUCUUCUAUUUAGCACUGUCAAUGCAUAUUGUUCUUUUAGUCAUCCAUGACAUUAUCCUGUUUUUUACAACAAAAGAAAAAUUACCUGCCUUGAUUUGUGUUUGGUAAGAAGAUCUGGUUGAUACUUAAUCUAUUAUGGUAUACACUAUACCUGAGAUUAAAUCUAAUAUGCUCUCUUAGAAAAUCCUUCCUUUUUCAUUCUCAGCUGAACAUUAUUAUUGUUUUGAAGCUAAUUACCUCAUUUCUCCGCAUGAUCAUCAACAUUCCUGAUAUGUAAUCUGCCUGAGCAACACACUAACCCAAGGGAAUGAGCAGCAUGUUAUCUAUAUGUCAUUGGAUAUAAAGAUUACACUUAUUCGCCCUGUUUGACUUAUUUGUGAAACUUCAUGACGUUCCUAAUCUUUCUCUUAAUAUGAUAUAAAUCAUUACUACCUGAAUGAUUUACUGUUGUGUGUUACUUACCGCAACGCAUCAAAUUGAAUUUUCCUUCACAUGCUUAAACACUAUAUGCUAUUGCCUAAACUUCA